rnacentral:lncRNA from 1 species
ACCAGCAGGACAGCGCCGCCUGGCACAGACCCCUCCUGUUGCCACGGGCGCCACCAAGCCCUGGACACACUUCAUCACUGCCUGAGGUGCCUGGGCCCCUGAGGAGGAUGAGACAGGCGGGCGUGGACAGUGAUUUCUCUUCAUCCUUGGCUCUCUGCCCUGCUCUGACAGGGACGACAGGCUGCAGGCCUCAGCAGAGGUGGCCCUUGUACACAGCAGCAGCACCUUGGCUUCCAGCAGACGGCAGAGUCCCUACCAGACAAUGGCCAAAGGCUACAAACUGAAACUGCAGGAAUAAAACUUUGACUAUGGGAGGGAUGACUACAAUUUCUCCACCUCCCAUCAGGCCUCAUCUCAUUCCUCUGUGUGCAGGUUGGCAUUCUUACCUCCUCCCUGUGGAUGACGGAAGAUGUGCCACCAAGACCAUGCGGAUGACCCUUUCUGGUGGCCUUGUCAAAAGAGGAGCUUCUGUGGUCUGAGAGCCCUGAUGCCCAGAGACACGCUUGCUGAGCUCAAUGGCUCAGUCACAUUCGAGGAAUGACUUCCUGUGGAUUCCAUGUAGGAACUUUCCCGUUUUGCAUUUGAGAGUAUUUGUUCAGAAACAGAAGCUUUGCAAGCCCUUUGUAUUUCAGCCAUGCAAAUAGCUGAGAGAAGGACCACAGUUGAGAAGAAGCAAAUUAAAACCUCUGGACACAAGUGGAAUGAAUGGCCAGGUUCUUUUUUUUUUUUUUAUCAUUUCCCAAGCUGAGGAAUGAGCGAAAGUUAAAUAAAUAGUGGCGCA